rnacentral:ncRNA from 1 species
ACGGCGAGAAGCUUAGAAAUGUAAGGGAUCAACGGCAAGUUCAGAAUGACCAGUACGAUGUUGCCAAAGUACAUAGAGAUGAUCACUGACCAGAAGACAUCUGGGUGCUCAACAAACAGGCGUGGACC